rnacentral:rRNA from 1 species
CCUACGGGUGACAGCAGUGAGGAAUAUUGGUCAAUGGGCGAGAGCCUGAACCAGCCAAGUCGCGUGAAGGAUGACGGCCCUACGGGUUGUAACCUUCUUUUGUCAGGGAGCAAUUGGGUCCACGCGUGGGCUUAGCGAGAGUACCUGACGACAAAGCAUCGGCUAACUCCGUGCCAGCAGCCGCGGUAAUACGGAGGAUGCGAGCGUUAUCCGGAUUUAUGGGGUUAAAGGGGUGCGUAGGCGGACUAUCAAGUCAGCGGUAAAAAUUCGGGGCUCAACCCCGUCGUGCCGUUGAAACUGAUGUUCUUGAGUGGGCGAGAAGUAGGCGGAAUGCGUGGUGUAGCGGUGAAAUGCAUAGAUAUCACGCAGAACUCCGGUUGCGAAGGCAGCAUACCGGCGCACAACUGACGCUGAAGCGCGAAAGCGUGGGUAGCGAACAGGAUUAGAUACCCCAGUAGUC